rnacentral:rRNA from 1 species
GACGUAGGAUGCAAGCGUUAUCCGGAAUUAUUGGGCGUAAAGCGUUCGUAGGUGGUUUGUUAAGUAGGAUGUUAAAUUUCUGAGCUCAACUCAGAAUUGGUGUCCUAAACUGGCAAGCUGGAGACAGGUAGAGGUAGACGGAACUCUGUGUGUAGGGGUAAUAUCCGUAGAUAUACAGAAGAACACCAAAAGCGAAAGCAGUCUACUGGACCUGUUCUGACACUCAAGAACGAAAGCGUGGGGAGCAAACGGG